GAGGAAAGUCCGGGCUCAGAGGGUGCGCGUAUCCCGUUAAGGCUGAUGAAGCCGGAGCGGGGGCGUGAGAGCGCCGGAAAGUGCCACAGAAAACAUACCGCCUUAUGUGUCUUCACACAUAAGGUAAGGGUGAAAAGGUGCGGUAAGAGCGCACCCAGGAAAGGAGAAGGUUUAAGGGAAAAAACGCCCUUGCCGAAUCCUUUCCUGCGGUAAACCCAUACGCGAGCAAGGCCAAGCAGAGGGGAAUUGCGGGAGUUUUCCAAAUCUGACUCCCGCAUGCGGGUUGCACCCUUCCCGCUAACACCCUCGGGUAGGCCGCUUAGAGUAAUGACCCCUUAACACAGAACCCGGCUUA
rnacentral:RNase_P_RNA from 1 species